CCAAACUGUUGCCUCGGCGGGAUCUCUGCCCCGGGUGCGUCGCAGCCCCGGACCAAGGCGCCCGCCGGAGGACCAACCAAAACUCUUUUUGUAUACCCCCUCGCGGGUUUUUUUUAUAAUCUGAGCCUUCUCGGCGCCUCUCGUAGGCGUUUCGAAAAUGAAUCAAAACUUUCAACAACGGAUCUCUUGGUUCUGGCAUCGAUGAAGAACGCAGCGAAAUGCGAUAAGUAAUGUGAAUUGCAGAAUUCAGUGAAUCAUCGAAUCUUUGAACGCACAUUGCGCCCGCCAGUAUUCUGGCGGGCAUGCCUGUCCGAGCGUCAUUUCAACCCUCGAACCCCUCCGGGGGGUCGGCGUUGGGGAUCGGCCCUGCCUCUUGGCGGUGGCCGUCUCCGAAAUACAGUGGCGGUCUCGCCGCAGCCUCUCCUGCGCAGUAGUUUGCACACUCGCAUCGGGAGCGCGGCGCGUCCACAGCCGUUAAACACCCAACUUCUGAAAUGUUGACCUCGGAUCAGGUAGGAAUACCCGCUGAACUUAAGCAUAUCAAUAAGCGGAGGAA
rnacentral:rRNA from 1 species